rnacentral:rRNA from 1 species
CUUGACUUGUAAUAAGAGGUCCAGCCUGCCCAGUGAAUUUUAAACGGCCGCGGUAUCCUAACCGCGCGAAGGUAGCAUAAUCACUUGUUCUUUAAAUGGGGACUUGUAUCAACGGCAUCACGAGGGUUUUACUGUCUCCUCUUUUUGAUCAGUGAAAUUGAUCUUCCCGUGAAGAAGCGGGAAUAAGCUUAUAAGACGAGAAGACCCCAUGGAGCUUAAAACCAAAUAACAACUUAACCACUUACCCCACUAUAAAUUUAAGCCCUGUUAUAAGGUUUUUGGUUGGGGUGACCGCGGAGUAAAACACAUCCUCCACGACGGAAAGAACACACUCUUUAUUUAAGAACCACAAUUCUAGAAAUUAGUAUACUAACGUUUACUGACCCGACAAUCGAUCAACGGACCA